CGGGUGAGUAAUACAUAGGAAUCUACCCAGUAGUUGGGGAUAACUUGGAGAAAUCCAUGCUAAUACCGCAUAUGUCCUACGGGGCAAAGCAGGGGACCCUCGGGCCUUGCGCUAUUGGAUGAGCCUAUGUCGGAUUAGCUAGUUGGUGGGGUAAAGGCCUACCAAGGCGACGAUCCGUAGCUGGUCGUGAGAGGAUGAUCAGCCACACUGGGACUGAGACACGGCCCAG
rnacentral:rRNA from 1 species